CUGAAGUUUGUCUGCCUGACUCCAUUACCUGGUGAAUGAGAUUGGCUAGCUGCUGCUCCUGCCCCAGCUAUUCAGUCAUUUGGCAAAUACUCAUUUAAACAAAGCUCCACAGGGAUCUCUGAGAAGGAGCUCACCUCUAGGCACACAGAACCUGGACACAGAUGAAAGUUUGCAGAAUGACCCAGUUGUGCAGAAGAGACCCACUGGCUGCUCUCAGUGAGGCCAGGGAGAGUCAAACAGAGCAUCUUGGACAAAGAGAGGGCUUGAAGGCCCUUUCAAAGUGUCAAGCCAGUUGGAUGCACGGGUUGUGUGGAGUCCAGGGGUACAUCCAGAAGCAAUGGCAGGUGUUAUCCAUUCAUUCAGGUUAGACCUCUGAGCAGACGGCAGAAACGUCAGCCACAGGUGAGCAUAAGCUCAAACCCCCCCAUUGAAGGCUACAUUCUUGUCCCACAGGGCAGAGCACAUGGCAAGUGGCAUGCUGACUCAGACACCGGGCACUGAGAAAAGUGGGAAGCCAUGGUCACAGACUCUACAUUCCCCUCUCCUGUUGGCCUCCAUCCCUUCCUCAACCGUCCGCAGAACACCUCCUUCCAGCACCUUAGCUCCUGCCUCCCUCUGGACCUAUUCAGUCCUCAAGGGUGCCCUGCUAAAGGCUGGGCUGAAAGCUAAGAGGAGAGGUGGCAUUCAAUGUGUCCUGUGUCCUCCCUGGGGUUGAUUAAGGGGUCGAUGCCCAAUAGAGUCCUUCAUCUUGGUGUUCAGCCCAGGGUCCAGCUGCCAAGGGAAGGCUUGGCAAUCAAGGGUGAUGGAGAUAAGAAUGAAAAGGGGCACCACCCUGUGCCAAAGCUGGCAUGUUGUAUAUCUGAGAGAGGAGCUGCCUAUUCACAGUGUAGGGUUGUCAAGCUGGAGGCAGGGAGAGAAAAGCAAGAGCUUUUUGGUUCCUCUUGAGGAUAGAAUCUAUAGGAAAAUGUAA
rnacentral:lncRNA from 10 species